rnacentral:lncRNA from 1 species
GGUCAGUUCGACCCCGGCGCCAGCGGACAGUACCUUGCCCUGCUGCAGAGUGGCGCGUGCUGUGCUGAGAUGUCGUCUGUCCUGCACUCGAUCUGCUCCAGUGUUGGUGAGUCUCAGACCUGUGCUCUGCUGAACCUGCGGAGGAAGCUGCUCUCUUCACAGGGUCACAGACCCAGCGGCGCUCUGACAGCAGUGAACCAAGAGCUCAACGCUCUCUCCAAGGCCUUCACUCACCUGACCAUAAACCCAAACCACCUGAGAAUUCUGGGAGAAAUGCCACCC